UACGUAGGGGGCGAGCGUUGUCCGGAAUCAUUGGGCGUAAAGAGCGCGUAGGCGGCCCUGUAAGUCCGCUGUGAAAGUCAAGGGCUCAACCUUGGAUGCCGGUGGAUACUGUCGGGCUAGAGUACGGAAGAGGCGAGUGGAAUUCCUGGUGUAGCGGUGAAAUGCGCAGAUAUCAGGAGGAACACCUAUUGCGAAGGCAGCUCGCUGGGAGC
rnacentral:rRNA from 1 species